rnacentral:rRNA from 1 species
GAUGAACGCUGGCGGUGUGCCUAAUACAUGCAAGUCGAACGGAGUUAGUAGCAAUACUGGCUCAGUGGCGAACGGGUGAGUAACGCGUUGGUGAUCUGCCUUGAAGUGUGGAAUAACGUUUCGAAAGGAACGCUAAUACCGCAUGUGCUCUCGAUUUUCAGAAAGUUGAGAGUAAAGGAUUUAUUCGCUUCAAGAGGAGCCUGCGUCCCAUCAGCUGGUUAGUAGGGUAACGGCCUACCAAGGCUAUGACGGGUAGGGGACCUGAGAGGGUGGCCCCCCACAAUGGAACUGAAACACGGUCCAUACACCUACGGGUGGCAGCAGUAGGGAAUAUUAGAAACGGACGAAAGUCUGAUCUAGCAACACCGCGUGUGCGAAGAAGGCCUUCGGGUCGUAAAGCACUUUUUGGAAGGAAUAGGAAGGAAUGUACUUCCAGAAUAAGUCUCGGCUAACUACGUGCCAGCCGCCGCCGUAAAAC